rnacentral:rRNA from 1 species
UACAGAGGUCUCAAGCGUUGUUCGGAUUCAUUGGGCGUAAAGGGUGCGUAGGCGGCGCGGUAAGUCGGGUGUGAAAUCUUGGAGCUUAACUCCGAAACUGCAUUCGAUACUGCCGUGCUUGAGGACUGGAGAGGAGACUGGAAUUUACGGUGUAGCGGUGAAAUGCGUAGAUAUUGGGAAGAACACCUGAGGCGAAGGCGGGUUGCUGGGCUGAUACUGACGCUGAGGCGCGAAAGCCGGGGGAGCAAACGGG